rnacentral:lncRNA from 1 species
AAAAAAAUGAUAUUAUAAUAAUGACCAAAACUCUCUAGUAUUGUCAUAAAGGAACAAAUAGGUAUGAUGAUAUUAGGAGAACUAGGCAUCUAACUCUAAAGGUUUAAACCUACUUUCCUCAGAAUAUCCUGCCAAAACACAAGCCAAUUUACAACCUGAAAAGACCUCUAAUGUGUGUGUUGUGAUUUCUAUGACGAAAUCC